rnacentral:rRNA from 1 species
CGGAAGCAGCAGUGAGGAAUAUUGCGCAAUGGGGGAAACCCUGACGCAGCAACGCCGCGUGGGUGAAGAAGGCUUUCGGGUUGUAAAGCCCUGUCAGGUGGGAAGAACCUUCUGCAGGUGAAUAGUCUGCGGAACUGACGGUACCACCAAAGGAAGCACCGGCUAACUCCGUGCCAGCAGCCGCGGUAAGACGGAGGGUGCAAGCGUUGUUCGGAAUCACUGGGCGUAAAGCGCGUGUAGGCGGUUCGAUAAGUCGAAUGUGAAAGCCCGAGGCUCAACCUCGGAAGUGCAUUCGAAACUGUCGGGCUUGAGUACGGGAGAGGGAAGUGGAAUUCCUGGUGUAGAGGUGAAAUUCGUAGAUAUCAGGAGGAACACCGGUGGCGAAGGCGGCUUCCUGGACCGAUACUGACGCUGAGACGCGAAAGCGUGGGGAGCAAACAGGCUUAGAUACCCCGGUAGA